GUGCUUGCUUGGACAGCACAUAUACUAAAAUUAGAACCAUGCAGAAGAGAUUAGCAUGGCCCCUGCACAUGCAUGACAUGCAAAUUUGUGAAGCAUUAAAAACUUCC